AUUGAAUGCUGGCGGCAGGCCUAACACUUGCAAGUCGAACGAGUGGCGGACGGGUGAGUAAUGUCUGGGAAACUGCCCGAUGGAGGGGGAUAACUACUGGAAACGGUAGCUAAUACCGCAUUCCAUCGGUUGUGCCCAGAUGGGAUAAGCUAGUAGGUGGGGUAACGUCUCACCUAGGCGACGAUCCCUCGCUGGUCUGAGAGGAUUGCCAGCCACACUGGAACUUAGACACGGUCUAGACUCCUACAGCAGGCAGCAGUGGUGGAUAUGGCACUAUGGGCGCAAGCCUAAUGCAGCCAUGCCGCGUGUAUGAAGGAGGCCUUCUGGUUGUAAAGUACUUUCAGCGAGGAGGCGUUACUCGCAGAAGAAGCACCGGCUAACUCCGUGGCAGCAGCCGCGGGAAUUC
rnacentral:rRNA from 1 species